UUUGUGGUAGAUUACGGACAGCAGGAAUCACGAGAACUCACAAGAACCCGCAGAUUCACGUUCAAUCAUACGAUAACGAGUUGUCUCUCUAAAGACAGACACAUAGACAUAUAAGCAGUAGAUUGUGUCCUUCCAGAGGAGGAAAUCUACUUCUAGACUUCUAGAAUCAGCAUCUCCUCAUCCAUGGUGUCAUCGGGGUGAAAUGACGUCUAAAAACCUUUCACUUGUUCGUCUCCGCCCGUUUGCAUGGUGUGAAAUACGAUCCUCCUGAAACACAGAGUGUUUUAUUUUGAAAAGAAGCCGGAUGUUUUAUUUUGAAAAGAAGCCGGAUGUUUUAUUUUGAAAAGAAGCCGGAUGUUUUAUUUUGUGUCUGUGCCCGACUUCCUUUCCAGCACGGGUUAAUCUGUGCUGAAUUUAUCCGCCAUGCUCCGGCGUCCGGAAAAAAUAGAACUCUUGUGAUCAGCUGAGGAGUCCGGCGAUCCGCAGAGGAACAGAAAGAAGUC